rnacentral:lncRNA from 1 species
AUUCCCAAUCUUAGGUUCUUCCACUCCUUAUUGUGAUGCCCCCGAUUUUACCGUACACAAAUCAUGCACGCAAAUAUGUACGACCAAGAUGAGGGACUCACGGGAGGAUAUCACAACACAACUCUAGACACAAAUUAAAAUCAUACAAGCUUUAUAUUACAAGCCAGGGGCCUCGAAGGCUUGAAUACAUAAGCUCGAAAGCACAAAAGUCAGCGGAAGCAACAAUAUCUGAGUACAUACAUAAGUUAAACAAGUUUGCCUUAAGAAGGCUAGCACAAAAGUAGCAAUGAUCAAAAAGGCGAGGCCUCCUGCUUGGGACCUUCUAACUACUCCUCAAAUCCGAACUCCAUGUAGAAUCAUCCUCGGGAUCCUCUGGCUCCUGGGCUCCAUCAUAUGAUCGCAAUAACCAGGAAAAGGGGAAAAAGAAGUAGCAAAACAACCGUGAGUACUCAUCCAAAGUACUCGCAAGUAAGGAUCUACACUACAUAUGCAUUGAUAUCAAUGAAAGGGGUAGUAUAUGUGGACUGAAUUGCAGAAUGCCAGAAUAAGAGGAGGAUAGCUAGUCCUAUCGAAGACUACACUUCUGGCAGCCUCCAUCUUGAAGCAGUAGAAGAGAGUAGAUGGUAAGUUAACCAAGUAUCACCACAUAGCAUACUCCUACCCGGUGAUCCUCUCCUCGUCGUCCUGUUAGAGAGCGAUCACCGGUUGUAUCUGGCACUUGAAAGGGUGUGUUUUAUUAAGUAUCCGGUUCUAGUUGUCAUAAGGUCAAGGUACAACUCCGGGUCGUCCUUUUACCGAGGGACACAGCUAUUCGAAUAGAUAAACUUCCCUGCAGGGGUGCAACCACAUUUCCCAACACGCUCAAUCCCCUUUGGCUGGGCACACUUUCCUGGGUCAUGCCCGGCCUCAGAAGAUCAACACGUCGCAGCCCCACCUAGGCACAACAGAGAGGUCAGCUGAAAGCACAAGUGCUCCCUAGGUGGUUUUGAUAAUUGAUGACAACAUAUCUCUUGUUGGAAUAACAUUUUGAUCUACAGAUAAGUUCAACAAUGGAGUGGCAUGGACUAAAGGUUGUGGGAACUGCUUCAAGAUGCUAAGGACAAAGGAUUGGCUAAAGCUUCAAGCUCAAGACUCCUCAUUUUAUAUUUUAGUGAUCCAAGAUCACAUUGAGUCUUUAGGAAAAGCCAAUACUAUCAAGGAGGGAUGAGGUGUUGCUUAAUGAGCCUCUUGCUUCAUGUGCUUAGUGAUAUGCUCCAAAACCCUCAACUACUUUCCCAUAUCCACAUAUGACCUAAACCCUAAGCCAAACUCAGUCCUAACGAUUCUUCCUAUCCGGCGCCACCGAGUUUCACUUGUCAUAAGCCACUACCAAACCCUAGCAAUUCGGUUCUACCGAUAGGGAUCUCGGUCUCACCGAGAUGGGAUUGCAAACUCUCUGUUUCCCUUUCGUAACUUUUCGGUCUCACCGAAAGAGCGAGUCGGUCCCAUCGAGAUUGCAAUGUAAAUUCAGUGUUUCCCCUUUGUAACUUUUCGGUCUCACCGAAAGAGCAAAUCGGUCCCACCGAGUUUGCCUGACCAAUUCACUGGUUAGCUAAUUACCAAAUCCGGUCUCACCGAGUUUGUGUAAUCGGUCUCACCAAGAUUACGUUAUGCCCAAACCCUAACCAUAUCGGUCCUACCGAGUUGCAUGUCAGUCCCACCGAAAAUCUCUAACGAUCACUAGGUUUACAUUUUCGGUCCGACCGAGUUUGUUGAUUCGGUCCCACCGAGAUUGGAAAACUGUGUGUAACGGUUGGAUUUUGUGUGGAGGCUAUAUAUACCCCUCCACCUCCUCUUCAUUCGAAGAGAGAGCCAUCAGAACACAUACACCAUUCCAACUCAUAUGUUCUGAGAGAGAACCACCUACUCAUGUGUUGAGACCAAGAUAUUCCAUUCCUACCAUAUGAAUCUUGAUCUCUAGCCUUCCCCAAGUUGCUUUCCACUCAAAUCUUCUUUCCACCAAAUCCAAAUCCUAUGAGAGAGAGUUGAGUGUUGGGGAGACUAUCAUUUGAAGCACAAGAGCAAGGAGUUCAUUACCUACACACCAUUUGUUACUUCUUGGAGAGUGGUGUCUCCUAGAUUGGCUAGGUGUCGCUUGGGAGCCUCCGACAAGAUUGUGGAGUUGAACCAAGGAGUUUGUAAGGGCAAGGAGAUCACCUACUUCGUGAAGAUCUACAGCUAGUGAGGCAAGUCCUGUGUGGGCGAUGGCCAUGGUGGGAUAGACAAGGUUGCUUCUUCGUGGACCCUUUGUGGGUGGUUGCUUCUUCGUGGACCCUUCGUGGGUGGAGCCCUGUGUGGACUCGCGCAACCGUUACCCUUCAUGGGUGGAGCCCUGUGUGGACUCGCGCAACCGUUACCCUUUGUGGGUUGAAGUCUCCAUCAACGUGGAUGUAGGAUAGCACCACCUAUCCGAACCAUGGGAAAAACAUCCGUGUCUCAAAUUGCGUUUGAUUUCUCCAAACCCUUCCCUUUACAUUCUUGCAAGUUGCAUGCUUUACAUUCUGCUGCUCAUAUACUCUUUGCAUGCUUGCUUGAUAUGUAUUGUGUGUGUUGAAAUUGUGCCUAAACUCCACUUAAACCGAAAAAGCUUAAGAAUUACAACUUUAGCAUUAAGUGUCUAAUCACCCCCCUCUAGACACAUCUACUUCUAGAUCCUACAAGUGGUAUCAGAGCUUUGGUCUCCAUUGCCUUGGUUUCAUCACCAUUGGAGGAAGAUGGAUGUGUCUACAUUAGGGAGUCUUAGACAUAGAGUGCCUAUUCUUGAUGGAGAGUAUUUUCAUGAGUGGAAAAAUGAGAUGCUUGUAAUCUUCAAUCAAUAUCAUUUGAACAAGUAUAUUGCUAGCCCUUGUGCACCUCAUAUUGAUCCUUUGCAUCCUACCCUAGAUAAAGAUAUUGACAUGAUUCGCAAUCUUAGAACUAUUGAGCUCAUCAUUAGAGGAUUGCCCAAAAAUUUGAUUGCUAGUUUGCCUACUCAAAAUUGUGCCUAUACUAUAUGGAAAUUUCUUGAGGAACGAUUUCCCGAUCAUUCCUUGAAAAGUUUGGAUGAAAUUCUCCAUAAAUCUAUUGCCUUGAGUAAGAUGAACUCUAGUGAUCCUAGUUUUGGUAAUUGUCUAUCUGAACUUACCAAUCUUAAGCAUGCUAAAGGAGAUGUUGGAAUCAUUAAUGAUAUCAUAUUCAAAGCUAUAAGAAUUCAUAAAAGUGACCACUUUGGUGAUCAUUUAUCUAAUGAAUUACCCUCUCUAGGAAAUGAUGAGUCACAAGAUCAUGAUGAACAUGAAUAUUAUGAUGAUGAUGAUAGUGACUUCGAUCUUGAUGAUGCAAUGAGACAUUUUGGUCUUAUGGCAAAUCUUCGGGGAUAUGAAUCAGGAGGAAAGGAAUGGGUUCUUGAUAGUGGAUGUACUGAUCAUAUGACCGGAGAUGAAGAGAUGUUUCGUGAGCUUGCUGAAAAUGACGGCCCUCGAAAAUAUGUCACCUUUGGUGAUAAUUCAAAGGGUAAAGUGGUUGGCCUUGGUAAGGUGGCCAUCUCACAUGAUAGUUCCAUUCAAAAUGUCAUGCUCGUUGAAUCUCUUGGCUACAACUUACUUUCAGUAUCUAGACUUGCUGAUUUCGGUUUGAAUGUCCUAUUUACUAAGGUAGAUUGCCAAGUAUUUCAUCGAGACAAUCAUAAAAUGGUCUUUACGGGUAUGCGUAGAGGUGAUCUUUACAUUGUCGAUUUCUCUAAAAAGGCACAACCUAAAACUUGCUUUGUUGCUAAAUCCUCAAAAGGUUGGUUGUGGCAUAGACGACUAGGUCACGUUGGCAUGAGAAACCUUGACAAGCUUAUUAAAGGAAAUCAUAUCCUUGGAGUUAACGAUGUCAUAUUUGAUAAGGAUAGACUUUGCAGUGCUUGUCAAGCAGGUAAACAGGUUGGAGGAAGACAUCCCGUGAAGAACAUCAUGACCACAAGGAGGCCACUCGAGCUACUACACAUGGAUCUUUUUGGUCCCAACGCCUACAAGAGUCUCGGUGGAAAUUCUUUUGGUCUAGUUAUAGUUGAUGAUUUUUCAAGAUUUACGUGGGUGUUCUUUCUUAAUGACAAGUCGCAGGUCCAGAAGAUCUUCAGAAACUUCGCUAGGAAGGCCCAAAAUCAGUUUGAUGUGAAGAUCAAGAAGGUUCGGAGUGACAAUGGAACGGAGUUCAAGAACGCAAAUGUGGACACCUUUCUUGACGAAGAAGGGAUUUCACACGAGUUCUCGGCUACGUACACACCUCAACAAAAUGGAGUUGUUGAGAGAAAGAACCGGACGCUCAUCGAAAUGGCAAGAACGAUGCUUGAUGAAUACAAGACGCCAAAGCACUUUUGGGCAGAAGCGGUUGAGACAGCUUGUCAUGCAACAAAUCGCUUAUAUCUUCACAAGCUACUCGGCAAGACGGCAUACGAGCUUCUCACCGGUAACAAACCCCAAGUUGGAUACUUUCGAGUAUUCGGCUCAAAGUGCUACAUUCUUGACAAGCAUCGUCGUUCAAAGUUUGCUCCUAAAUCUCAUGAAGGUUUUCUACUUGGUUAUGGCUCAAACUCUCACACUUACCGUGUCUACAACAAUUUCACCUGAAAGGUUGAAGAGACGGUAGAUGUGAAGUUUGAUGAAUCUAAUGGCUCGCAAGUAGAGCAAUUGCCAAUUGAUGUAGGAGACAAAGACCCUUCAGAAGCAAUUCAGGACUUGUCCAUUGGCAAAAUUCGCCCAACGGAGGUGAAGGAGAGUACUUCAUCUGUCCAAGUGGAAGCUUCUACUUCACGACAAGGUGAACCAAGAAUCGACACGGAAGCAUCCACAAGUGGGACACACCAAGAUGAAGAAAACGAGGAAAUACGUCAAGACGAACAUCAACAACCUCCUUCUCCACCACGACAAGAGAACGACGACGUCAACAAUGAAGAAGGCCAAGAAGAAGAACAAGAUGAAGAAGAUGUUCAACGAAGACCCAAGCAAAAGCUCUCACGAGUUCGAGCAAGAAUUGCCAAAGAUCAUCCCGUCGAGCAAAUCCUCAAUGAUAUACAAACCGGGAGAAUCACUCACUCAAAAACUCGUUUAGCUAACUUUUGUGAAAACUAUUCAUUCAUCUCUAGCAUUGAACCUAUGAAGGUUGAAGAAGCAUUGGAAGAUCCGGAUUGGAUAAACACUAUGCAUGAAGAGCUACAUAAUUUUGAGAGAAACCAAGUUUGGACAUUGGUCGAGAAGCCCGACAACAACCACAACAUCAUUGGUACCAAAUGGGUGUUUCGCAACAAGCAAGAUGAAGAUGGACAAGUGGUUCGCAACAAAGCAUGUCUCGUCGCCCAAGGGUACACACAAGUCGAAGGUAUGGACUAUGGUGAGACGUAUGCUCCCGUUGCUAGACUUGAGUCCAAUCGCAUCUUACUUGCCUAUGCUAAUCACCAUAAUAUCACCUUGUACCAAAUGGACAUUAAAAGUACUUUUCUAAAUGGUGAAACAGAGGAGGAAGUUUAUGUCAAACAACCUCCCGGCUUUAUCAAUCCUAAGAAACCAAAUCAUGUUUACAAACUUCACAAAGCUCUUUAUGGUCUUAAACAAGCUCCUAGAGCAUGGUAUAAAUGCUUGACCAAGUUCCUUACUACAAGUGGUUUUGAAAUCGGUAAAAUUGAUUCUACUCUUUUUACUAAAAGGGUUAAUGGAGAACUAUUUGUAUGCCAAAUUUAUGUUGGUGAUAUCAUAUUUGGUUCAACUAACCCUCUCUUUAGUGAAAAGUUUGGAAAGCUAAUGUCAGAGAAGUUUGAGAUGUCUAUGAUGAGUGAACUCAAAUUCUUUCUCGGGUUGCAAAUCAAGCAAACUAAAGAAGGUACAUUUGUCCCUCAAACAAAGUACACCAAGGACUUAUUCAAGAAGUUCAAUAUGCAAGAAUGCAAAGGUAUGUCUACACCCAUGCCUACUAGUGGACAUAAUGAUUUAACCAAAGAUGGUGAACCGGUUGAUCAAAAGGUUUAUCGCUCUAUGAUUGGUUCAUUGUUAUACAUAUGUGCUUCACGUCCAGAUAAUAUGCUAAGUGUGUGCAUGUGUGCACGAUAUCAAGCUGCUCCUAAAGAUUGUCAUCUUAAGGCUGUGAAAAGGAUAGUGAGAUAUUUAAUCCAUACACCAAAUUUUGGCAUUUGGUAUCCUAAGAGGUCUUCUUUUGAUCUUGUUGGCUAUUCUGACUCGGAUUAUGCCGGAGACAAGGUUGAUAGAAAGUCCACUUCGGGUACUUGUCAAAUUCUUGGUAGAUCUCUUGUGUCUUGGUCUUCCAAGAAACAAAACUCGGUAUCCUUAUCCACCGCCGAAGCGGAAUACAUUGCCGCUGGUUCAUGUUGUGCUCAAUUACUUUGGAUGACCCAAACUCUUAAAGAUUGUGGGUUUUAUGUGAAACAUGUUCCACUGCUUUGUGACAAUGAAAGUGCUAUCAAAAUUGGUCAUAAUCCUGUACAACAUUCUCGAACUAAGCAUAUUGAAGUUUGUCAUCAUUUCAUUCGAGAUCAUGUUGCUAAGGGUGACAUCAAUCUUAAGCAUGUUCGCACCGAUAAGCAAUUAGCGGAUAUAUUCACUAAACCACUUGAUGAGAAAGUGUUUUGCAGGCUGAGAGGAGAAUUGAACAUCAUUGAUGCUUCGAACUUGGAGUAGAAACUCCAUUGGAUACAUGCAAGACAUGAGCUUAUGACUAAUCCAUGAUAUAUCUCUUAUGACAACUAUCUUAUGUCUUGGAUAUAUUUGAACCUUGCAUGUUAUCUAACCCAUGUAGGUGCUUGGUUGAAUCUAAUUCCAUGAGAUUGCGACUCACUCACAUCUUGAGCAAUCUCUACAAGACCAAGACUCUACACAAUAGUGGUUGAAGACAAGGAAGCACAAAACCAUUCAAACAUAUCCUUUGACAAAUUCUAUGUUAAGCUUCAUGAUUGUCAUUUUUGGAUACACAAGUGCUCUUCCUUGCAAGAACUAACCCAUGUAGGUAGAUGAACUCAAACUCCAAGUGGUGCUCCCAACUCUUGAUGAGUUACAUCAACCUUGAGCACCCACACAAGUUCAACUACAUGAGCAAGAACCACACCACCACCCAAGGUAUGUUAUUCCAUCUUAGAGAAGCUUUACUCCAAGACAUGAGUCAAAGCAACUCAACAAGAUGUGAAUACAUCAAGAUGCUUAAACGAAAGAUGGUAACCCCAUUUUGAGCUUAAACGAUGAGUAUGACCUAUGAUCAAGUGUUCCCACUUGACUCCUAAGUCAAUAUACUCUAACAUAGGUGACUAUGUCACCGCCCAACUCUAGAUGAAGCUCUCUUGUGUUCUUUCUUUGUGUUAUUGCAUUUGUCUCAUGCAUGUUUAUUUCCUCUCUCCUUUUUCAAAAAAAACUUCAUCUAGAUCUUUCAGUUUCUUCUCUUUUCUCUUUGUUUUUGUUCUGCAUUUUCUGCACUUAAUUCCUUGCAAAUCCUUCAGGAAAUUCAUUGUAAAUCUUUGUGAGAUCCUACAUGUCUAGUGAGCUGAGGUGACAAGUGUUUUUCUCUGUGUAAACUCGGUUUCACCGACUUGCAAUUUUCGGUCCAACCGAAUCUUUUCGGUACCACCGAAAUGUGCCACUCGGUGCCACCGACUUUGCAAUCAGAAAAAUAGAUUGCCACUUGUUCUACAUUUCUUCUGAUCCAGCUCCACUCAAUGAAUCUUGUCCUCUACAAGCAUCACAAUUUUAUCCUCUGCUUUGUGCUGAAUCUCAAGGACCAAACCUAGUCGACGGAUUCCAGGAAAAACCUUCUUGGAAAUUGAUGUCAAAGGGGGAGAAAGAGAUCACAUCAAAGCUCAAGGGGGAGAGAAUACUCAAGGAUCCCAGAUGCUUGAUGUUCAAGAGGAGAGAUACCACAUGUCCUUUUGGGGGAAAGACAUGUUCAUAUGUACUCAUUUGAAUUAAGUUCCAUUUGUAUCUUUCAGCUCUGAUUUUCUGUUCCCUAUCUUCUCCCAAUAUCCCAUGUAAGAUUCAGGGGGAGCAAGACACCUAAGGGAAAGAAAUCAGUCAAAUUCAUUGCAUAUCUUUAUUUUUGGGGACAUGUUGAAUUCAAUGUGGUACCUUGUACUCACUCUCUACAUGUCAUCCCAGUCUUGGUAUUCUUGUGGUUUCUUUUGUUUGCUCUGGCUAGUGGAUGUACCUGUGUUAUCUAACCUUGUUUGUGCAGGUUCAUUGCAUCCUAAGCCAACUCAAGACCACAAGGUAAGUAUAUGCAUCAAAAUCAUGAGUAUGAGGAGUUCUUGCUUAUGUACAUACUGUUUGCAAGGACUCAUGAGCAUGAAGGUAUUUUCCUUGAUAAUCUUUUGCUCUGAUGCAUAUGGCCAAGAUGCAUGUAACACAUUGCCUACUCUGUCAUGGUUAUGCUCUCACAUGCCUCUAUAUUUCAUAUUUACAUGAGUGCAUACAUGUAGGGGGAGCCUAUGCUUGUUACAUGUCCUUCCAAAGCUUUACUUGAUGUUCUUUAUAUCUUUAUCUAAAGCUUUGAUGUAUGUUGCCAUCAAUUACCAAAAAGGGGGAGAUUGAAAGCAAAAGUGCUCCCUAGGUGGUUUUGAUAAUUGAUGACAACAUAUCUCUUGUUGGACUAACAUUUCGAUCUAGCAUGUUUCAGAUAAGUUCAACAAUGGAGUGGCAUGGACUAAAGGUUGUGGGAACUCCUUCAAGAUGCUAAGGACAAAGGAUUGGCUAAAGCUUCAAGCUCAAGACUCCUCAUUUUAUAUUUUAGUGAUCCAAGAUCACAUUGAGUCUUUAGGAAAAGCCAAUACUAUCAAGGAGGGAUGAGGUGUUGCUUAAUGAGCCUCUUGCUUCAUGUGCUUAGUGAUAUGCUCCAAAACCCUCAACUACUUUCCCAUAUCCACAUAUGACCUAAACCCUAAGCCAAACUCGGUCCUACCGAUUCUUCCUAUCCGACGCCACCGAGUUUCACUUGUCAUAAGCCACUGCCAAACCCUAGCAAUUCGGUUCUACCGAUAGGGAUCUCGGUCUCACCGAGAUGGGAUUGCAAACUCUCUGUUUCCCUUUCGUAACUUUUCGGUCUCACCGAAAGAGCGAGUCGGUCCCACCGAGAUUGCAAUGUAAAUUCAGUGUUUCCCCUUUGUAACUUUUCGGUCUCACCGAAAGAGCAAAUCGGUCCCACCGAGUUUGCCUGACCAACUCUCUGGUUAGCUAAUUACCAAAUCCGGUCUCACCAAGUUUGUGUAAUUGGUCUCACCGAGAUUACGUUAUGCCCAAACCCUAACCAUAUCGGUCCUACCGAGUUGCAUGUCAGUCCCACCGAAAAUCUCUAACGAUCACUAGGUUUACAUUUUCGGUCCGACCGAGUUUGUUGAUUCGGUCCCAUCGAGAUUGGAAAAUUGUGUGUAAUGGUUGGAUUUUGUGUGGAGGCUAUAUAUACCCCUCCACCUCCUCUUCAUUCGAAGAGAGAGCCAUCAGAACACAUACACCAUUCCAACUCAUAUGUUCUGAGAGAGAACCACCUACUCAUGUGUUGAGACCAAGAUAUUCCAUUCCUACCAUAUGAAUCUUGAUCUCUAGCCUUCCCCAAGUUGCUUUCCACUCAAAUCUUCUUUCCAUCAAAUCCAAAUCCUAUGAGAGAGAGUUGAGUGUUGGGGAGACUAUCAUUUGAAGCACAAGAGCAAGGAGUUCAUUACCUACACACCAUUUGUUACUUCUUGGAGAGUGGUGUCUCCUAGAUUUGCUAGGUGUCACUUGGGAGCCUCUGACAAGAUUGUGGAGUUGAACCAAGGAGUUUGUAAGGGCAAGGAGAUCGCCUACUUCGUGAAGAUCUACCGCUAGUGAGGCAAGUCCUGUGUGGGCGAUGGCCAUGGUGGGAUAGACAAGGUUGCUUCUUCGUGGACCCUUUGUGGGUGGUUGCUUCUUUGUGGACCCUUCGUGGGUGGAGCCCUGUGUGGACUCGCGCAACCGUUACCCUUCGUGGGUGGAGCCCUGUGUGGACUCGCGCAACCGUUACCCUUUGUGGGUUGAAGUCUCCAUCAACGUGGAUGUAGGAUAGCACCACCUAUCCGAACCAUGGGAAAAACAUCCGUGUCUCAAAUUGCGUUUGAUUUCUCCAAACCCUUCCCUUUACAUUCUUGCAAGUUGCAUGCUUUACAUUCCGCUGCUCAUAUACUCUUUGCAUGCUUGCUUGAUAUGUAUUGUGUGUGUUGAAAUUGUGCCUAAACUCCACUUAAACUGAAAAAGCUUAAGAAUUACAACUUUAGCAUUAAGUGUCUAAUCACCCCCCUCUAGACACAUCUACUUCUAGAUCCUACAAGUGGUAUCAGAGCUUUGGUCUCCAUUGCCUUGGUUUCAUCACCAUUGGAGGAAGAUGGAUGUGUCUACAUUAGGGAGUCUUAGACAUAGAGUGCCUAUUCUUGAUGGAGAGUAUUUUCAUGAGUGGAAAAAUGAGAUGCUUGUAAUCUUCAAUCAAUAUCAUUUGAACAAGUAUAUUGCUAGCCCUUGUGAACCUCAUAUUGAUCCUUUGCAUCCUACCCUAGAUAAAGAUAUUGACAUGAUUCGCAAUCUUAGAACUAUUGAGCUCAUCAUUAGAGGAUUGCCCAAAAAUUUGAUUGCUAGUUUGCCUACUCAAAAUUGUGCCUAUACUAUAUGGAAAUUUCUUGAGGAACGAUUUCCCGAUCAUUCCUUGAAAAGUUUGGAUGAAAUUCUCCAUAAAUCUAUUGCCUUGAGUAAGAUGAACUCUAGUGAUCCUAGUUUUGGUAAUUGUCUAUCUGAACUUACCAAUCUUAAGCAUGCUAAAGGAGAUGUUGGAAUCAUUAAUGAUAUCAUAUUCAAAGCUAUAAGAAUUCAUAAAAGUGACCACUUUGAUGAUCAUUUAUCUAAUGAAUUACCCUCUCUAGGAAAUGAUGAGUCACAAGAUCAUGAUGAACAUGAAUAUUAUGAUGAUGAUGAUAGUGACUUCGAUCUUGAUGAUGCAAUGAGACAUUUUGGUCUUAUGGCAAAUCUUCGGGGAUAUGAAUCAGGAGGAAAGGAAUGGGUUCUUGAUAGUGGAUGUACUGAUCAUAUGACCGGAGAUGAAGAGAUGUUUCGUGAGCUUGCUGAAAAUGACGGCCCUCGAAAAUAUGUCACCUUUGGUGAUAAUUCAAAGGGUAAAGUGGUUGGCCUUGGUAAGGUGGCCAUCUCACAUGAUAGUUCCAUUCAAAAUGUCAUGCUCGUUGAAUCUCUUGGCUACAACUUACUUUCAGUAUCUAGACUUGCUGAUUUCGGUUUGAAUGUCCUAUUUACUAAGGUAGAUUGCCAAGUAUUUCGUCGAGACAAUCAUAAAAUGGUCUUUACGGGUAUGCGUAGAGGUGAUCUUUACAUUGUCGAUUUCUCUAAAAAGGCACAACCUAAAACUUGCUUUGUUGCUAAAUCCUCAAAAGGUUGGUUGUGGCAUAGACGACUAGGUCACGUUGGCAUGAGAAACCUUGACAAGCUUAUUAAAGGAAAUCAUAUCCUUGGAGUUAACGAUGUCAUAUUUGAUAAGGAUAGACUUUGCAGUGCUUGUCAAGCAGGUAAACAGGUUGGAGGAAGACAUCCCGUGAAGAACAUCAUGACCACAAGGAGGCCACUCGAGCUACUACACAUGGAUCUUUUUGGUCCCAACGCCUACAAGAGUCUCGGUGGAAAUUCUUUUGGUCUAGUUAUAGUUGAUGAUUUUUCAAGAUUUACGUGGGUGUUCUUUCUUCAUGACAAGUCGCAUGUCCAGAAGAUCUUCAGAAACUUCGCUAGGAAGGCCCAAAAUCAGUUUGAUGUGAAGAUCAAGAAGGUUCGGAGUGACAACAGAACGGAGUUCAAGAACGCAAAUGUGGACACCUUUCUUGACGAAGAAGGGAUUUCACACGAGUUCUCGGCUACGUACACACCUCAACAAAAUGGAGUUGUUGAGAGAAAGAACCGGACGCUCAUCGAAAUGGCAAGAACGAUGCUUGAUGAAUACAAGAUGCCAAAGCACUUUUGGGCAGAAGCGGUUGAGACAGCUUGUCACGCAACAAAUCGCUUAUAUCUUCACAAGCUACUCGGCAAAACGGCAUACGAGCUUCUCACCGGUAACAAACCCCAAGUUGGAUACUUUCGAGUAUUCGGCUCAAAGUGCUACAUUCUUGACAAGCAUCGUCGUUCAAAGUUUGCUCCUAAAUCUCAUGAAGGUUUUCUACUUGGUUAUGGCUCAAACUCUCACACUUACCGUGUCUACAACAAUUUCACCUGAAAGGUUGAAGAGACGGUAGAUGUGAAGUUUGAUGAAUCUAAUGGCUCGCAAGUAGAGCAAUUGCCAAUUGAUGUAGGAGACAAAGACCCUUCAGAAGCAAUUCAGGACUUGUCCAUUGGCAAAAUUCGCCCAACGGAGGUAAAGGAGAGUACUUCAUCCGUCCAAGUGGAAGCUUCUACUUCACGACAAGGUGAACCAAGAAUCGACACGGAAGCAUCCACAAGUGGGACACACCAAGAUGAAGAAAACGAGAAAAUACGUCAAGACGAACAUCAACAACCUCCUUCUCCACCACGACAAGAGAACGACGACGUCAACAAUGAAGAAGGCCAAGAAGAAGAACAAGAUGAAGAAGAUGUUCAACGAAGACCCAAGCAAAAGCUCUCACGAGUUCGAGCAAGAAUUGCCAAAGAUCAUCCCGUCGAGCAAAUCCUCAAUGAUAUACAAACCGGGAGAAUCACUCGCUCAAAAACUCGUUUAGCUAACUUUUGUGAAAACUAUUCAUUCAUCUCUAGCAUUGAACCUAUGAAGGUUGAAGAAGCAUUGGAAGAUCCGGAUUGGAUAAACUCACCGAGAUUGCAAUGUAAAUUCAGUGUUUCCCCUUUGUAACUUUUCGGUCUCACCGAAAGAGCAAAUCGGUCCCACCGAGGACCAACUCUCUGGUUAGCUAAUUACCAAAUCCGGUCUCACCGAGUUUGCGUAAUCGGUCUCACCGAGAUUAUGUUAUGCCCAAACCCUAACCAUAUCGGUCCUACCGAGUUGCAUGUCAGUCCCACCGAAAAUCUCUAACGGUCACUAGGUUUACAUUUUCGGUCCGACCGAGUUUGUUGAUUCGGUCCCACCGAGAUUGAAAAACUGUGUGUAACGGUUGGCUUUUGUGUGGAGGCUAUAUAUACCCCUCCACCUCCUCUUCAUUCGAAGAGAGAGCCAUCUGAACACAUACACCAUUCCAACUCAUAUGUUCUGAGAGAGAACCACCUACUCAUGUGUUGAGACCAAGAUAUUCCAUUCCUACCAUAUGAAUCUUGAUCUCUAGCCUUCCCCAAGUUGCUUUCCACUCAAAUCUUCUUUCCACAAAAUCCAAAUCCUAUGAGAGAUAGUUGAGUGUUGGGGAGACUAUCAUUUGAAGCACAAGAGCAAGGAGUUCAUUACCUACACACCAUUUGUUACUUCUUGGAGAGUGGUGUCUCCUAGAUUGGCUAGGUGUCACUUGGGAGCCUCCGACAAGAUUGUGGAGUUGAACCAAGGAGUUUGUAAGGGCAAGGAGAUCGCCUACUUCGUGAAGAUCUACCGCUAGUGAGGCAAGUCCUGUGUGGGCGAUGGCCAUGGUGGGAUAGACAAGGUUGCUUCUUCGUGGACCCUUUGUGGGUGGUUGCUUCUUCGUGGACCCUUCGUGGGUGGAGCCCUGUGUGGACUCGCGCAACCGUUACCCUUCGUGGGUGGAGCCCUGUGUGGACUCGCGCAACCGUUACCCUUUGUGGGUUGAAGUCUCCAUCAACGUGGAUGUAGGAUAGCACCACCUAUCCGAACCAUGGGAAAAACAUCCGUGUCUCAAAUUGCAUUUGAUUUCUCCAAACCCUUCCCUUUACAUUCUUGCAAGUUGCAUGCUUUACAUUCCGCUGCUCAUAUACUCUUUGCAUGCUUGCUUGAUAUGUAUUGUGUGUGUUGAAAUUGUGCCUAAACUCCACUUAAACCGAAAAAGCUUAAGAAUUACAACUUUAGCAUUAAGUGUCUAAUCACCCCCCUCUAGACACAUCUACUUCUAGAUCCUACAAGUGGUAUCAGAGCUUUGGUCUCCAUUGCCUUGGUUUCAUCACCAUUGGAGGAAGAUGGAUGUGUCUACAUUAGGGAGUCUUAGACAUAGAGUGCCUAUUCUUGAUGGAGAGUAUUUUCAUGAGUGGAAAAAUGAGAUGCUUGUAAUCUUCAAUCAAUAUCAUUUGAACAAGUAUAUUGCUAGCCCUUGUGCACCUCAUAUUGAUCCUUUGCAUCCUACCCUAGAUAAAGAUAUUGACAUGAUUCGCAAUCUUAGAACUAUUGAGCUCAUCAUUAGAGGAUUGCCCAAAAAUUUGAUUUCUAGUUUGCCUACUCAAAAUUGUGCCUAUACUAUAUGGAAAUUUCUUGAGGAACGAUUUCCCGAUCAUUCCUUGAAAAGUUUGGAUGAAAUUCUCCAUAAAUCUAUUGCCUUGAGUAAGAUGAACUCUAGUGAUCCUAGUUUUGGUAAUUGUCUAUUUGAACUUACCAAUCUUAAGCAUGCUAAAGGAGAUGUUGGAAUCAUUAAUGAUAUCAUAUUCAAAGCUAUAAGAAUUCAUAAAAGUGACCACUUUGAUGAUCAUUUAUCUAAUGAAUUACCCUCUCUAGGAAAUGAUGAGUCACAAGAUCAUGAUGAACAUGAAUAUUAUGAUGAUGAUGAUAGUGACUUCGAUCUUGAUGAUGCAAUGAGACAUUUUGGUCUUAUGGCAAAUCUUCGGGGAUAUGAAUCAGGAGGAAAGGAAUGGGUUCUUGAUAGUGGAUGUACUGAUCAUAUGACCGGAUAUGAAGAGAUGUUUCGUGAGCUUGCUGAAAAUGACGGCCCUCGAAAAUAUGUCACCUUUGGUGAUAAUUCAAAGGGUAAAGUGGUUGGCCUUGGUGAGGUGGCCAUCUCACAUGAUAGUUCCAUUCAAAAUGCCAUGCUCGUUGAAUCUCUUGGCUACAACUUACUUUCAGUAUCUAGACUUGCUGAUUUCGGUUUGAAUGUCCUAUUUACUAAGGUAGAUUGCCAAGUAUUUCGUCGAGACAAUCAUAAAAUGGUCUUUAUGGGUAUGCGUAGAGGUGAUCUUUACAUUGUCGAUUUCUCUAAAAAGGCACAACCUAAAACUUGCUUUGUUGCUAAAUCCUCAAAAGGUUGGUUGUGGCAUAGACGACUAGGUCACGUUGGCAUGAGAAACCUUGACAAGCUUAUUAAAGGAAAUCAUAUCCUUGGAGUUAACGAUGUCAUAUUUGAUAAGGAUAGACUUUGCAGUGCUUGUCAAGCAGGUAAACAGGUUGGAGGAAGACAUCCCGUGAAGAACAUCAUGACCACAAGGAGGCCACUCGAGCUACUACACAUGGAUCUUUUUGGUCCCAACGCCUACAAGAGUCUCGGUGGAAAUUCUUUUGGUCUAGUUAUAGUUGAUGAUUUUUCAAGAUUUACGUGGGUGUUCUUUCUUAAUGACAAGUCGCAGGUCCAGAAGAUCUUCAGAAACUUCGCUAGGAAGGCCCAAAAUCAGUUUGAUGUGAAGAUCAAGAAGGUUCCGAGUGACAACGGAACGGAGUUCAAGAACGCAAAUGUGGACACCUUUCUUGACGAAGAAGGGAUUUCACACGAGUUCUCGGCUACGUACACACCUCAACAAAAUGGAGUUGUUGAGAGAAAUAACCGGACGCUCAUCGAAAUGGCAAGAAUGAUGCUUGAUGAAUACAAGACGCCAAAGCACUUUUGGGCAGAAGCGGUUGAGACAGCUUGUCACGCAACAAAUCGCUUAUAUCUUCACAAGCUACUCGGCAAGACGGCAUACGAGCUUCUCACCGGUAACAAACCCCAAGUUGGAUACUUUCGAGUAUUCGGCUCAAAGUGCUACAUUCUUGACAAGCAUCGUCGUUCAAAGUUUGCUCCUAAAUCUCGUGAAGGUUUUCUACUUGGUUAUGGCUCAAACUCUCACACUUACCAUGUCUACAAAAAUUUCACCUGAAAGGUUGAAGAGACGGUAGAUGUGAAGUUUGAUGAAUCUAAUGGCUCGCAAGUAGAGCAAUUGCCAAUUGAUGUAGGAGACAAAGACCCUUCAGAAGCAAUUCAGGACUUGUCCAUUGGCAAAAUUCGCCCAACGGAGGUGAAGGAGAGUACUUCAUCCGUCCAAGUGGAAGCUUCUACUUCACGACAAGGUGAACCAAGAAUCGACACGGAAGCAUCCACAAGUGGGACACACCAAUAUGAAGAAAAUAAGGAAAUACGUCAAGACGAACAUCAACAACCUCCUUCUCCACCACGACAAGAGAACGACGACGUCAACAAUGAAGAAGGCCAAGAAGAAGAACAAGAUGAAGAAGAUGUUCAACGAAGACCCAAGCAAAAGCUCUCACGAGUUCGAGCAAGAAUUGCCAAAGAUCAUCCCGUCGAGCAAAUCCUCAAUGAUAUACAAACCGGGAGAAUCACUCGCUCAAAAACUCGUUUAGCUAACUUUUGUGAAAACUAUUCAUUCAUCUCUAGCAUUGAACCUAUGAAGGUUGAAGAAGCAUUGGAAGAUCCGGAUUGGAUAAACUCACCGAGAUUGCAAUGUAAAUUCAGUGUUUCCCCUUUGUAACUUUUCGGUGUCACCGAAAGAGCAAAUCGGUCCCACCGAGUUUGCCUGACCAACUCUCUGGUUAGCUAAUUACCAAAUCCGGUCUCACUGAGUUUGUGUAAUCGGUCUCACCGAGAUUAUGUUAUGCCCAAACCCUAACCAUAUCGGUCCUACCGAGUUGCAUGUCAGUCCCACCGAAAAUCUCUAACGGUCACUAGGUUUACAUUUUCGGUCCGACCGAGUUUGUUGAUUCGGUCCCACCGAGAUUGGAAAACUGUGUGUAACGGUUGGAUUUUGUGUGGAGGCUAUAUAUACCCCUCCACCUCCUCUUCAUUCGAAGAGAGAGCCAUCAGAACACAUACACCAUUCCAACUCAUAUGUUCUGAGAGAGAACCACCUACUCAUGUGUUGAGACCAAGAUAUUCCAUUCCUACCAUAUGAAUCUUGAUCUCUAGCCUUCCCCAAGUUGCUUUCCACUCAAAUCUUCUUUCCACCAAAUCCAAAUCCUAUGAGAGAGAGUUGAGUGUUGGGGAGACUAUCAUUUGAAGCACAAGAGCAAGGAGUUCAUUACCUACACACCAUUUGUUACUUCUUGAAGAGUGGUGUCUCCUAGAUUGGCUAGGUGUCACUUGGGAGCCUCCGACAAGAUUGUGGAGUUGAACCAAGGAGUUUGUAAGGGCAAGGAGAUCGCCUACUUCGUGAAGAUCUACCGCUAGUGAGGCAAGUCCUGUGUGGGCGAUGGCCAUGGUGGGAUAGACAAGGUUGCUUCUUCGUGGACCCUUUGUGGGUGGUUGCUUCUUCGUGGACCCUUCGUGGGUGGAGCCCUGUGUGGACUCGCGCAACCAUUACCCUUCAUGGGUGGAGCCCUGUGUGGACUCGCGCAACCGUUACCCUUUGUGGGUUGAAGUCUCCAUCAACGUGGAUGUAGGAUAGCACCACCUAUCCGAACCACGGGAAAAACAUCCGUGUCUCAAAUUGCGUUUGAUUUCUCCAAACCCUUCCCUUUACAUUCUUGCAAGUUGCAUGCUUUACAUUCCGCUGCUCAUAUACUCUUUGCAUGCUUGCUUGAUAUGUAUUGUGUGUGUCGAAAUUGUGCCUAAACUCCACUUAAACCGAAAAAGCUUAAAAAUUGCAACUUUAGCAUUAAGUGUCUAAUCACCUCCCUCUAGACACAUCUACUUCUAGAUCCUACAUCAGCAUGCCGGUCUAAAUCCUAAGCGCGGGGGGGUCUGGGCCCAUCGCCCAUUGCACACCUGCACGUUCCGUACGCGGCCGGUGAGCAGACCUAGCAACCUCCAUUACAAAGGAAGUUGCGUUUCAUGGUCCAACUCGGCGCGCGCCGCUCAGUCGCUGAUGUCACAAAGGCUUCGACUGAUACCAUGACGUCGAGUGUCCAUAACUGUUCCCGCGUAGUUGGUUAGUGCAUAUAGGCCAGUGGCCAGACUCAGAUCAAAUACCAAGAUCUCGUUAAACGUGUUAUCUUGAAGUUACUGCGAACGCCGACCAGGGCCAGGCCCACCUCUCUCCUGGGUGGUCUCAACCUGCCCUGUCGCUCCGCCACAAAGAUCCACCCAGAGGGCCAUCAGGACAAAGGUCCUUUCAGCCCCCAAUCCGUGAAUCACUCGCGGGUACUCUUCGAGCCGACCCGUCUUUAGUCAUCACAUGUAUCAUGUAUAAGAUAUAUAACAUAUACCCGUGAUUACCUCCCUAGUGAUCACGGCCCGAUAGUAUAGCAUAUCAGAUGGACAAGAAUGUAGGGUCACUGAUGAUAAACUAGCAUCCUAUACUAGGCAUUUAGGAUGGCAGGUAAGGGUAACAACUGUAGCAACAAUGACAGGCUAUGCAGCAGAAUAGGAUUAACCCAAAGUAGUAACAUGCUACACUGCUCGGCCCCUCAAGGGGGGGGGGCUUGCCUGGUUGCUCUGGCAAGGAAGGGUCGUCAACACCAUAGUCGAACUGGGGUCGCCGGCAGUCUCGGGGUCUACCGGAAGGAAAGUAAGAGAGCGGAACACAAUAAAUAACAGAGCAAUCAAAGCAUGACAAAGCAUAACAUGGCAAUACGCGGUACUAGAGGUGACCUAAUGCAGUACGAGGGGAUACCAGCGAAGGGGGGAAACAUCCGGGAAAGUAUCCCCGGUGUUUCACGUUUUUGGACAGAUGAACCGGAGGGGGAAAGUUGCGUGUUCGCUAUGCUAGGGAUGUGUGAUGGACGAACGGGCUGCGUAUCCGGAUUUGUCUCGUCGUUCUAAGCAACUUUCAUGUAGAAAACAUUUUCAUCCGAACUAUGAUUAUUUUAUAUGAUUUCUCAAAGAUUUAAACACUAUUUCGAAAUUUUGUAUUUAAUUUUAAUCUGAAUUGACCAAGUCAAAUUUGACUGAUCAAAUGCGGAGGUGUGGCCCACAUGGCAUUGACUAAACCUAAACAAAUAAAUAAAAUCUAACUUAGUUAAAAGGGGGCCACAUGUCAUCUACACAUUUGACUAGUAAACAAAUAAGCUAACCUAAUCUAACUAAUUAGGGCCGGCCCCAUACAAACCUACGCACACAGAACACACACGCACACCACAUAACACAUGGCCAUGGCCACGCCAUGGCCAAUAGCAACGUAGUGCAGCAGGAGGGCAGAGCAACAUCAGCGGCAACUAUCAAAGGCAGCGGCAGCAGAACGCAGCAAAUAACAGCAGUACGGUGGCAGCAGCAGAGUAGCGACCUGUAGCGGCGCAAGCAGCAAGCAGGGCCGUGGGCGCGGCCAUGGAGUGGUGGGCGCUGGCGUGUGCACGGACAGAGGCAAGCAAGGGCGUGGGCUGGGUAUGUAGGCGCUUGCGGUGAGCGCGGCCAGCGGUGGGUGAGCGCAGCCAGCGGCAAGCGGGCGCGUGCGGAGCAGGGCCACGGGCGCGGCCAAGCGAGAUCGGGACGACGACUACAACCCAGAUCGAGCAAGGGAACAGGGAGAAUUGGCAGAGGGCCUCACCGUGGGUCCGACAGCGUGCUCCGGGAGGCCAGGGACGGGGUGGAGAGGCGGUGGUGACGGCGAGACGGUGACGAUGUGCGGCUGCCGGACGAAGGAGAUGUAGAUGGCGUCGGCUCGAGGACAUCCCUGCUUGAGCUAGACCCCGGGGCGGACAAAUCUAGCCGUGGCGAACCUCUUGGACAUGCUCCCGCACGCCGGAGAUGACAGUGGCCGCGACGCUGGCAGAGAGCCAGUGGUGAUUGCGAGUUUUCGAGCUCAAAAACUAGCAGAAUAGGAGGAGGGCGAUGGGGGAUCUAGGGGGAAAG